CUUGCUUCUCUUGAGAGCGGCGGACGGGUGAGUAAUGCCUAGGAAUCUGCCUGGUAGUGGGGGAUAACGUUCGGAAACGGACGCUAAUACCGCAUACGUCCUACGGGAGAAAGCAGGGGACCUUCGGGCCUUGCGCUAUCAGAUGAGCCUAGGUCGGAUUAGCUAGUUGGUGGGGUAAUGGCUCAUCAAGGCGACGAUCCGUAACUGGUCUGAGAGGAUGAUCAGUCACACUGGAACUGAGACACGGUCCAGACUCCUACGGGAGGCAGCAGUGGGGAAUAUUGGACAAUGGGCGAAAGCCUGAUCCAGCCAUGCCGCGUGUGUGAAGAAGGUCUUCGGAUUGUAAAGCACUUUAAGUUGGGAGGAAGGGUUGUAGAUUAAUACUCUGCAAUUUUGACGUUACCGACAGAAUAAGCACCGGCUAACUCUGUGCCAGCAGCCGCGGUAAUACAGAGGGUGCAAGCGUUAAUCGGAAUUACUGGGCGUAAAGCGCGCGUAGGUGGUUUGUUAAGUUGGAUGUGAAAUCCCCGGGCUCAACCUGGGAACUGCAUUCAAAACUGACUGACUAGAGUAUGGUAGAGGGUGGUGGAAUUUCCUGUGUAGCGGUGAAAUGCGUAGAUAUAGGAAGGAACACCAGUGGCGAAGCGACCACCUGGACUAAUACUGACACUGAGGUGCGAAAGCGUGGGGAGCAAAC
rnacentral:rRNA from 1 species